UUGGGGAGGUAAAUUUUUCCUAAGGCUAAAUAACGGCGAGAGACCGAUAGCGAACAAGUACCGUGAGGGAAAGAUGAAAAGAACUUUGAAAAGAGAGUUAAACAGUACGUGAAAUUGUUGAAAGGGAAACGAUUGAAGCCAGUCGUACCUUCGGGUAAUCAGCCUUUUGGGUGUGAUUUUGUGGAGUGUGAGGAGCUAAACACCUUCAUGCUUUGCAAAUUUGGGCCUUUGGGUGUACUUGCCCGUGUGGUUGGUUAACAUCAAUUUUGGUGGUCAUAAAAUGACUGGAGGAAUGGAGCUUCCAAUAA
rnacentral:rRNA from 1 species